rnacentral:rRNA from 1 species
GAUGAGCGCUGGCGGCGUGCCUAAUACAUGCAAGUCGAGCGAACGGACGAGAAGCUUGCUUCUCUGAUGUUAGCGGCGGACGGGUGAGUAACACGUGGAUAACCUACCUAUAAGACUGGGAUAACUUCGGGAAACCGGAGCUAAUACCGGAUAAUAUUUUGAACCGCAUGGUUCAAAAGUGAAAGACGGUCUUGCUGUCACUUAUAGAUGGAUCCGCGCUGCAUUAGCUAGUUGGUAAGGUAACGGCUUACCAAGGCAACGAUGCAUAGCCGACCUGAGAGGGUGAUCGGCCACACUGGAACUGAGACACAGUCCAGACUCCUACGGGAGGCAGCAGUAGGGAAUCUUCCGCAAUGGGCGAAAGCCUGACGGAGCAACGCCGCGUGAGUGAUGAAGGUCUUCGGAUCGUAAAACUCUGUUAUUAGGGAAGAACAUAUGUGUAAGUAACUGUGCACAUCUUGACGGUACCUAAUCAGAAAGCCACGGCUAACUACGUG